UAGGAUAUUUUCCAGAACCCUCUUUUCAAAAAUCUCUCUCAAGUCCCAAACCCUCCCUUCACCUUUUACCUAAUCGUCUUCACCAGUCGUCACUCCCGUAGUUCAAUCUCCAGCAUUCUCCACCACCUCGUGUCCUCAUCUAUAGCUGUUCGUUUUGCUCUCAUACAAGUUAAAGAAGCCCAUCAGCGUCCUCCGUAGCAGCGAAGAACUAGAACCCGUAGCAGCCACCCUCACCGACGCCGCCACCCCACCCCACCCCCACCGACGCCGCCAUCAACAUCUUUCUCGCGAGUCCUCGACACACCCAACCAGGGAAGUGUCGCCUCCAACGCUGGCCGGCUCCUCUACCCCAUUUGCGCGCGGCUCCCUCACCCAACCAAGGUUUGUGAAGAACAAAUGGAUUUUACAAGCUAGGCAGAAACAGAGUUUGGUAGUGUAUCUUACAUGUGUAAUUAGUUAGCUCUUAUGGUAAUAUUUUGGUGAUCUCAAGAUCUCAACUCUCAACCAAUGUAAAAUGAGAGUAUAUAAUAUUCUUUUUUUUAGGUUAUUUAUAUAAGUACUACCGUAGUACUAACGUAGUACUACUUUUUGUAUAUUCCCAAACCAUUGGACAUGUAGAUAUUAUUGAUCUUUUUAAUGAAAUUAAAUUUUUAUGGUCAUUAA